UACAGAGCCAUAAUGACAGAAACAAAGUAUCUCCCCUGUGGUUUCUGACCAUGGUGGGAAAUCUGGAGCAGGAAAAGUGAACCCACUCCUUCAUGUUGGUCAUGGAGAAGGAGAACCCAGCAAUGAGUCUGGGGAAUGCAGCGUUACCAAGCCACAGCUGAGCGGCACGCCACAACGUGUAGUUACAUUUUUG